CUCUGCUCCUAGCUGGACCUAGACCUCGAAAGGUCUACAACCUCCUAACCCUCCCAGCAGCUGGGGACCAAGUGUUUAAAUCUGUGGGGGGACAUUUUAUGCCCAAACUCUAACAUCUACUGGUUCUGAGAAGGGUCACACAGCUUUAGGUCUCAAAUCCUGUGUCGGUCAAUCUCUUAAAGCCUAGAGGCCAGGCAGAUGUAGAGGUCUCUGGAGAGGCAGCUCCAUAUAGCUGAAAGUCAGGAGGAACUGCCUCAACUUCCAGCCAGUGUCGUAAGUCCCCUUGUAGUGGGAAGCGGGAAUCUUCUUCUUGUGGAUUCUGCGCUUGAGUGUCUUUCCUUUACUACUGUAUUUUGAUACGAGAUUGUUCAGUGUCGCCUUUUACCUGGUUUAAAAAAUAUCCAGUAAACUAUUGGGGCUGGAGGGAGGGAUCAGUAAAAUGCUUACUGCAUAAGCAUGAAGACCCGAGUUCAAUUCCCAGCAUCCACAUAAAACAUGGGUGCAUGGUACAUUCCUGCAAUCCUAGUGUUGGGGAGCUGGACACAGGAAGAGUCCUAGGGCUUACUGGCAAGUCAAUUUAGCUGUAUCUUUGAGCUCUAGGUUUAGUGAAAGACUUUGCUUCACAAAAUAAAGUGGAUGGCAGUUAAGGAAAACAUCAUGUGUUGACCUAUAGCCUCUGCACAUGUGUGCACACAUGAACAUGUAUACAUACACUAUGCAUGUAGUAGACCAUGUCUGUGCCAGGCCACCCAGACCACUGUGUUCUUCCCCUUACUCCUGUGCUGUCUGCCCCAUUCUGCAGCUCCUUCCUCUCUCCAACCUUUUCCCUUCUCAUGGACGCUAGCCAGCCCUGGAAAUUACUUGAGCUCCCCAUUGCCUGGAGUGGUUUCACGAGAAAAAAGAUUCUUCACAAUUUCAAAAAAAGUCUCGACAUACAAAAGAAUCUUGCUUCAUUCAUCUUUUUGGCAGAAACAGCCUGUUGGCUUAAUGCAGAAAUGAUUUAGGUUUGAGAUCUUUGCUUCUGCCCACAUUCUGUACUUUUAGUCGUUCUUGGUAUGCAAUGCACAGAACUACCACACAGGGGCACUGUUGGCUUUGAAAGUCGCUUGGGUUUGUAAGCUGCUUUCUAAACAGAUUGGGAUCUAGGAUAGUGGUAUUGAUUUUGUAUUUCACUUAAAUUAAUUAUCAUUGACGUUCUGAAGGCUGCUUAACUUCUUGGUUCAAAAGGUACAGAUCUGAAGCCUGUUUGAUGUCUGUUAUAGUCUUUUCCAGAAGCCGGAAAUGAAGGUAAAAGGGAAGUAUGGUUAUAGUUAGUCGCUUGCGAGGGUUUUUCAAGGGGUUUUCAAGUGCUCCUGGAACUUCUGGGUCUACGGGUAAAAUUGGCAUGUCCAUUGUGAAGGUCCAAAAGUUACAAAGAAAGAAAUGUGAGCAGGCAGGAAAAAAGUUUUAGAGGUUAGGUGACAGUGGGAGAGGGGGCAGGAACCACACCAAGCUUCUGGAAGCACGACAGAGUGACAAUUAAUGAUUAAAGUGGAACUGUCUGCAGUUCAUGAUGUAAGGAGACUGCUGAGCAGGGCCUCACUUUCUAGCGUUUGUGCAGACCCGGAUCCCCAAAUCUUCAGCCUUUCUCCAUAUGAAAUGGUGCUAGUUCUUGCUGGCAGACAGAGUCAAGCUCGGGCUAUUACCAACUCAAAGAACACAAGCGUAAAUGCACAGAGAGAACUGGCUAUAAGAAGGAAGCCAUCCUUGGGCAUCCUGGGAGCCCAGGGUCCAAUGCUAUGCAAGUGAGUAGUGCAAAGGAAACACGGGGCAGUCUCCUUGGACAAGUCUUCCUGGAUAUCCAUAGGUGCAGAGUCCCCGCCUGACACUCCACAGUACUUAUCUGCAUGGGUGCAUCUGGCUCCAGCCUAGUGGCCACCACCCAGCAGGAAGCAGCCUCUGGCUGAUUGAAUUAAGGACUGCAUGUGCACAUACACAUGGGGCUUCCUGUGCAGCAUCUGCUCUCAACUGAAAUAGUGAUGCUCACCUAACAGGAUUUGGACUCUGGUAUUCUCAUGCAAUCAGGCUCUCACAGCAUAGGCAGCCUUACACAACAGUUAUUGGUCUCCCUUCUCUGGAGCCAAAGAGCCUGAGUUUAAAGCCUGACUUGGUCAUUACCAGAUAUUCAGGCCCCGGCAAGUUUCUGAAUUCUCUGUUCCUCCAUGUUUCGAUAUCUAGGAAGAUACGGACACCAGUCAUUUUGUAUGGCUUCUCUGUGGCUGGGGAUGGGAGAGCCAGCAUUUAAGCUCAGAAAAGCAUGCGAUAUGCCACAUGCUCUCACUUAAUGCUGGUUUAAAAGUUUCCAAUUAUUCAUUAAAAUACAAGUCUUGCGGGACUUCUUGCCAGGUAUCAGGAUCUUAGCCCAUUCAGGCCUCUAGCUCAGCUGGUGUCUGCUGCAGAAGGCUGGGAGAUGACCCUGGGCUAGCCACUCCCAGAGUGGGCUCUGCCUCCAGGACCUCAGACAGAACCAUUACUUGGCAGAGGCUGUGAGUGCACGGGAAACAGAUUAACUCGCUAUCAUUUCAGCCUGCCACUGGCCAUUUGCUAAAUUGCACGAUUUGAUAUGGGAGUGUCCUCUUGCUCCUUGUUGGCGCCAGCCUGCCUUCUUAUCGGGAUGGUGUGACAGCCGCAAGUCACCCAACCACUCGUGACAGGCAUCUUUCUCAGCAGAUUUGCCCUUUGCCUGCCGAGAUUCAAGGACCCGAGGAGAGAGGAAAAGAAUGAAAUCAGGUACGGAAAGCAACACAGAAUAAAAAUGUUUGGAGGCGUCUUCCAUGUGGGGUCAGCGGCAGAUGUGUGACGUUGCCUCGUCUGCCCCUAGUGUUACCAUGACUUCAGAGGACACCUACGAAGGUCUUCUCUUCAUGACCUUGCUCUGGUUUUCUUCUCUCCUUUCUCAGUUCUGUUUCCUGACAAAGAGGCUGCUUGAAGUUCAACAGCAGAAAUGAACGACCAUGUGAUGUCUGUUCUGUAGAUGUCUCUGAUGCUUCUGGAUCUGCUUUAAUGAGCCCACUUUCCUGAGACUGCCACCUGCAUCUAACAGAGGCCCUGUGGUGUGGCUGGUGUGGAAGACUUGGCUGUAAUGUCAAGAGGAAUACACGCACACUGCGGCACACUGUUUGCAAGUGAAAAACAGGAGGUAACAAAGGAAAAAUAACAUUGCAACUUACCAGGAUAAAUGGAGUGCGUGUGCGUGUGCGUGUGCGUGUGUGUGUGUGUGUUGCUGUUGUUGCUGUUGUUGUUGUUGUUGUUGUUUUGUUGUUUUAGGCAGUCAAGAGCAGAAUGAAGUGGCAUUGCUAUUCCGUAGGCAAGCUAUACCAUCCAGGAGCCACACACCUUCUCCACAGAUUCUGUUCCCGGUCACUGACAGCCCCACACAACUUCCUUCACCUCAGUUUUCAUAGCCACGAACAUCUAGACACGUAGGAUACACUGUGCAGAUGCCAUUUGGCUGAGUGCCAGUCUCUUACAUUCUCUUUUGCAGCUAAGAGCUGACAAUUAGUUAAUCUGUAAUAUCUACUUUUGGUCUCCUCUCAUUUACUGUUUCUACUAGUAACCUGAAAAUCCAAAUCUGGGCAUCCCCAGCCACCUUGAGGAAGGUACUUUGGGGACAAAAAAAGAAGGUCAUCUCUCUGAAGAGUAACAGUCCCUGGAAGCCAGUGUGUGGCCUUGCCAUGCCUGGAAGGAGGAAGGUAUAAGGGG
rnacentral:sRNA from 1 species